rnacentral:rRNA from 1 species
AUUGAACGCUGGCGGCAUGCCUUACACAUGCAAGUCGAACGGCAGCACGGGUGCUUGCACCUGGUGGCGAGUGGCGAACGGGUGAGUAAUACAUCGGAACAUGUCCUGUAGUGGGGGAUAGCCCGGCGAAAGCCGGAUUAAUACCGCAUACGAUCUACGGAUGAAAGCGGGGGACCUUCGGGCCUCGCGCUAUAGGGCUGGCCGAUGGCUGAUUAGCUAGUUGGUGGGGUAAAGGCCUACCAAGGCGACGAUCAGUAGCUGGUCUGAGAGGACGACCAGCCACACUGGGACUGAGACACGGCCCAGACUCCUACGGGAGGCAGCAGUGGGGAAUUUUGGACAAAGGGCGAAAGCCUGAUCCAGCAAUGCCGCGUGUGUGAAGAAGGCCUUCGGGUUGUAAAGCACUUUUGUCCGGAAAGAAAUCCUUGGCCCUAAUACGGUCGGGGGAUGACGGUACCGGAAGAAUAAGCACCGGCUAACUACGUG